AUGCCAUUGCUGAACACAUGCAUACAUGGAUAGAUGUUUUUGGUUUCAAGCCUCUUGAGGAAACACACAGACAAGAAAUGAUGUCCAUCAACUUGUUGGUGUUUCCUGCAACAAAUAUGUUGCAGAAACCACUAAUUCCAGAGAAAGGUUCAUCAUUACAUAAGAUAAGAAUGGAAUUGGAAUUGGAAAGCAACAUUCCGAAGCCUGCCAAAUCUGAAUCAAGUUCUCCCGAUAUUAAACAUUCGAGACAAAGAAUUGCUCCAUCGGAGUCCGGUUCUCAAGAUGCUAGCGAUGCCACUCUUUCCAUCAGUUAUGUUAAAGUUGACAUCACGUUUCCGGUUCCGGAAAGAAAACCAAAUGUUAUUAGUGAUUCCGAUGUUCAGCUUGAUGGUGAUGAUACAGUUAUGCUGAAUGGUGAAGAGAGUACUUAAAAUUUUGCUAUUUCUGUUGCCAUUCCAGUAAGAAAAGGUGUGUGUGGGGUGGUAAUGAGACUACAAAUGGAAUUGUUGAUGCCGAUUCCAAGGGAGAAGGAUUUGCUCCACAAAAUGGGAAUGUGACGCCUUCCACCAAAACAGGCGGUGCCUAUUCCAUUCCAGGUAACCCACAUGAACUCAUGUAGAUAUUCACUAAAUGAAGAGUUCAAGAAUACCAUGGCCUCAAGGUCCCGCAGAGGAUACAUGGAAUCAAAUCUAGCAAGCAAUGAAGAAGGUAUAUUUGAUACUUUUCCCUUUCUUCCCAAAAAGUAGUUGUGGUUUGACUUUAUGGUCAAACCUAUUGAAAUUUUGCAUCAAAAACUGGAAUGGUUUAACAUUUGUUAUCUUACCCAUUUUGUUCAUGUUUGGGCUUCUAAAUGGAAUGAAAGAGCAUAUAAAAACAGGAAUCAUGAUACAUUAUGCAUUGGUAUUUUGAUUCAAGAACAUAUUAGAGCUGAUUACGCCUUUGUCACAUACACAAAUCAUCCAGUGUCUCGUUACUCCUCACAGAUAUACACAGAGAUAAGUCUCAUAUUUAUGGAUACUUUUGUUUAGGGCUAUUUUCAAUUAUGAGAAUGUGGAUAGUAUCUAAUUCCUUGUUGACACCUCAUCUUUUUCAGCAUGAAACGAUACAUUAACCUAAUGUUUUUUUUUCUUCCAGGAUGCAGCUUCUCGGGGAAGUGCUGGUGUAGGCUUUGAUGUUGUGCAAUAUGAUUAGCAUCUACUCCAACAAUGUUCAAUAGUACACUCACAACAAAUGAAGACUUUCUAUGUCCAGUUGAUGGAGCUAUCAUGAUAACUUCAAGCCAUUUUCAUUAUAAUAGAAAUGCUUUUAAAUUCUUUACUAAUGAAGGAGGCCUUGGAAAACCCGACAUUAAAGACAUUCUGGAGCAUACUGCAAACAUAUAUAAUGGAUUUACACCAAAUCUCUAGAAGAGGCAGAAAGAAAAAUUUCAUCUUCCAUCACUAAAGUUGACUACAUGGCUAUUUACGCUUCUAACCUUGUAACAACAGUUCGCAAAGCUUCAGGAAACAUAGAAAAGCCAUUGGAAGGAUUUCAUAUAGUUGUGGAUGCUGGGAAUGGAGCUGGUGGUUUUUUUGUUGUAUGUUAUCUUUUAAGAAUGAUGUAUAAAACAUGAGGGAAAUUUGUUUUUCGAGGAAGAUUUCAGUGUUACAAGCAAGAUUGGGUCAGGGCUUUAGAUUCAGGCGCAAGAAUAUUAGCUCCAACAGCAUACAUCUUCUUUGCCUCCACCCUUCCAGUCAUUGCCUUCGGUGAGCAACUGAAUAAAGAGAUAGAUGAUAUGUUGAGUGCAGUGGAAACUCUCACCUCUACUGCUAUAUGUGGAAUUAUCCAUGCAAUAUUCGGUGGACAACCUCUUUUGGUUUUAGGUGUUGUUGAACCUACUGUUAUAAUGUACAAUUAUCUCUAUAGUUUUGUAAAGAAAGACCUGAAUUGGAGAGGCAACUGUUUCUAGCUUGGGCUGGAUGGUAUAGAACCUUCUAGAAAUGUCUCAAGUAUAAUUAUCAUGUGUAAUCUUAUUCUUUCCUACCAAGCAUAUAUGAUAAUAUACAUAUUCUUCUUGGAUUUAGG